CCUACGGGAGGCAGCAGUGAGGAAUAUUGGUCAAUGGACGGAAGUCUGAACCAGCCAUGCCGCGUGCAGGAAGACGGCUCUAUGAGUUGUAAACUGCUUUUGUACAAGGGUAAACCUGAAUACGUGUAUUCAGCUGAACGUACUGUACGAAUAAGGAUCGGCUAACUCCGGGCCAGCAGCCGCGGUAAUACGGAGGAUCCAAGCGUUAUCCGGAUUUAUUGGGUUUAAAGGGUGCGUAGGCGGAUGGAUAAGUUAGAGGUGAAAUGUCCGCGCUUAACUCGGGAACUGCCUCUAAUACUGUUGAGCUAGAGAGUAGAGGAGGUAGGUGGAAUGUAUGGUGUAGCGGUGAAAUGCUUAGAGAUCAUACAGAACACCGAUUGCGAAGGCAGCUUACCAAUCUAUAUCUGACGUUGAGGCACGAAAGCGUGGGGAGCAAACAGGAUUAGAUACCCGAGUAGUC
rnacentral:rRNA from 1 species